rnacentral:misc_RNA from 1 species
GAAAUGCGAUAAGUAAUGCGAAUUGCAGAAUUCAGUGAAUCAUCGAAUCUUUGAACGCACAUUGCGCCCGCCAGCACUCUGGCGGGCAUGCCUGCCCGAGCGUCAUUUCAACCCUCGCCCCCCAGCCGGGGCGGUGUUGGGGACCGGCCUUGGGGGAGCUUCGGCUCCCCCGGCGCCGCCCCCUAAACCCAUUGGCGGCCCCGCCGGCGCGACGCCCGCGUAGUAUCACUACCCCGCGGUCCGGAGCGACGGAGGCGGCACAGCCGUAAAACACCCCAAUUCGGGCCGAGAGGCCUCAGAGUUUGACCUCGGAUCAGGUAGGACUACCCGCUGAACUUAA